rnacentral:rRNA from 3 species
UGGGGAAUAUUGCACAAUGGGGGAAACCCUGAUGCAGCAACGCCGCGUGAGUGAUGACGGCCUUCGGGUUGUAAAGCUCUGUCUUCAGGGACGAUAAUGACGGUACCUGAGGAGGAAGCCACGGCUAACUACGUGCCAGCAGCCGCGGUAAUACGUAGGUGGCGAGCGUUGUCCGGAUUUACUGGGCGUAAAGGGAGCGUAGGCGGACUUUUAAGUGAGAUGUGAAAUACUCGGGCUCAACUUGAGUGCUGCAUUUCAAACUGGAAGUCUAGAGUGCAGGAGAGGAGAAUGGAAUUCCUAGUGUAGCGGUGAAAUGCGUAGAGAUUAGGAAGAACACCAGUGGCGAAGGCGAUUCUCUGGACUGUAACUGACGCUGAGGCUCGAAAGCGUGGGGAGCAAACAGG